rnacentral:rRNA from 1 species
UGCAACCUACCUUAAUCAGGGGGAUAGCCCGAAGAAAUUCGGAUUAACACCGCAUAAAAACACAGGGUAGCAUUACCUAAUGUUCAAAUAUUUAUAGGAUUAAGAUGGGCAUGCGUGUCAUUAGUUAGUUGGCGGGGUAACGGCCCACCAAGACCACGAUGACUAGGGGAUCUGAGAGGAUGACCC